rnacentral:siRNA from 1 species
UUUUGGAUUAAGCUUAAGUAGAUC